GACAGAGGGGGCAAGCGUUGCUCGGAAUCACUGGGCGUAAAGGGCGCGUAGGCGGGAUGGCAAGUCGGUCGUGAAAUCCUUCGGCCCAACCGAAGAACGUCGGCCGAUACUGCCGUUCUUGAGGGAUGCAGAGGAGACUGGAAUUCCCGGUGUAGCGGUGAAAUGUGUAGAGAUCGGGAGGAACACCGGUGGCGAAGGCAGGUCUCUGGGCCAUAACUGACGCUGAGAAGCGAAAGCAUGGGGAGCGAACAGG
rnacentral:rRNA from 1 species